GAAGAGACUGCAAGACUUGAGAUCGGGUGAGGUUAAACGUACUUUCAGGGUAGGGGUAAAAUCCUGUAAUCCCGGAAGGACGACCAGUGGCGAAAGCGUUUAACUAGGACGAAUCUGACGGUAAGGAACGAAGGCUAGGGUAGCAAACCGGAUUAGAUACCCGGGUAGUCCUAGCUGUAAACAUUGCCCAUUUGAUGUUGCUUUCCCGUUGAGGGAAGGCAGUGUCGGAGCGAAGGUGUUAAAUGGGCCGCUUGGGAAGUAUGGUCGCAAGACUGAAACUUAAAGGAAUUGGCGGGGGAGCACCGCAACGGGAGGAAUGUGCGGUUUAAUUGGAUUCAACGCCGGAAAACUCACCGGGAACGACCUGUGCAUGAGAGUCAACUUGACGAGCUUACUCGAUAGCAGGAGAGGUGGUGCAUGGCCGUCGUCAGCUCGUACCGUAGGGCGUUCACUUAAGUGUGAUAACGAGCGAGACCCACAUCUUUAAUUGCGAAUGUUUAUGGGAAUAUGCAUGCACUUUAGAGAAACCGGCAGCGCUAAGCUGGAGGAAGGAG
rnacentral:rRNA from 1 species